AAAUCUCCCCCUAUAUCACCUGUCAAGGGGUGGGAUAUUAGGAAACAAGCUAAUAGUCAGUUAUUAAAGCUGAUGUGUUGGAAGCUGGUUCAGGGAUUUUGUGAUGGCUACAGGACUAGGUCAUUUCAUGAAGAAAUCUGCCUAUAAGAAAACUAUUUCACUCCAACAAGGCGGGCAUUUUGUUGGUGAAGAAAGUGCAUGUUUUGGAAAUCUUUCUGACAGCUCAGUCCUAGUGGUCUCACUUGGCUACUAAACAGGGAUAUGUGAACUGUACAGCUGAAAGGAGGAGAGAAAUCACAGCACAGUGAAGAUCAUCACAGAUGGAAGAGCUUGUGUGCUAA